rnacentral:hammerhead_ribozyme from 1 species
AUCCAGCUGCCGAGUCUCGAGUAGGACAAAACGCGCGUCCUGGAU